rnacentral:rRNA from 1 species
GCUCUCGGCAAUGGAUAUCUCGUCUCUCGCAUCGAUGAAGAACGUAGCGAAAUGCGAUACCUGGUGUGAAUUGCAGAAUCCCGCGAACCAUCGAGUCUUUGAACGCAAGUUGCGCCCGAGGCGACUCGGCCGAAGGCACGCCUGCCUGGGCGUCACGCCAAAACACGCUCCCAACCACCCUCUUCGGGAAUUGGGAUGCGGCAUGUGGUCCCUCGUCCUGCAAGGGGCAGUGGGCCGAAGAUCUGGCUGCCGGCGUACCGCGUCGGACACAGCGCAUGGUGGGCGUUCUCGCUUUAUCAAUGUAGUACAUCCGACGCGUAGACGGCAUCAAGGCCUCGAAACGACCCAGCGAACGAAGUGCACGUCGCUUCGACCGCGAGCCCAGGUCAGGCAGGACUACCCGUUGAGUUUAAGCAUAUAAAUAAGCGGAGGAGAAGAAACUUACAAGGAUUCCCCUAGUAACGGCGAGCGAACCGGGAACAACCCAGCUUGAGAAUCAGGCGGCUGUGUCGUCCGAAUUGUAGUCUGGAGAGGCGUCCUCAGCGAUGGACCGGGCCCAAGUCCCCUGGAAAGGGGCGCCUGGGAGGGUGAGAGCCCCGUCCGGCCCGGAGUCUGUCGCUCCACGAGGCGCGGUCAACGAGUCGAGUUGUUUGGGAAUGCAGCCCAAAUCGGGCGGUAGACUCCGUCCAAGGCUAAAUACAGGCGAGAGACCGAUAGCGAACAAGUACCGCGAGGGAAAGAUGAAAAGGACUUUGAAAAGAGAGUCAAAGAGUGCUUGAAAUUGCCGGGAGGGAAGUGGAUGGGGGCCGGCGAUGCGCCCCGGCCGUAUGCGGAACGGCUCUUCCUGGUCCGCCGCUCGGCUCGGGGUGUGGACUGUUGUCGGCCGCGUCGGCGGCCAAAGACCGGGGGCCCUAGGUGCCUCCGGUUGCCGUCGUCGACACGGCCGGUACCUGCGCGCCGAAAGGCGUGUCCCUCGGGGCACUGCGCUGCAACGGCCUGCGGGCUCCCCAUCCGACCCGUCUCGAAACACGGACCAAGGAGUCUGACAUGCAUGCGAGUCGACGGGUUUUGAAACGUGGGAUGCGCAAGGAAGCUGACGAGCGGGAGGCCCUCACGGGCCACACCGCUGGCCAACCCUAAUCUUCUGUGAAGGGUUCGAGUUGGAGCACGCCUGUCGGGACCCGAAAGAUGGUGAACUAUGCCUGAGCGGGGCGAAGCCAGAGGAAACUCUGGUGGAGGCUCGAAGCGAUACUGACGUGCAAAUCGUUCGUCUGACUUGGGUAUAGGGGCGAAAGACUAAUCUAACCAUCUAGUAGCCGGUUCCCUCCGAAGUUUCCCUCAGGAUAGCUGGAGCCCAUUAUGAGUUCUAUCAGGUAAAGCCAAUGAUUAGAGGCAUUGGGGACGCAACGUCCUCGACCUAUUCUCAAACUUUAAAUAGGUAGGAUGGCUUGGCUGCUUCGGUGAGCCGUGCCACGGAAUCGGGUGCUCCAAGUGGGCCAUUUUUGAUAAGCAGAACUGGCGAUGCGGGAUGAACCAGAAGCCGGGUUACGGUGCCCAACUGCGCGCUAACCUAGAACCCACAAAGGGUGUUGGUCGAUUAAGACAGCAGGACGGUGGUCAUGGAAGUCGAAAUCCGCUAAGGAGCGUGUAACAACUCACCUGCCGAAUCAACUAGCCCCGAAAAUGGAUGGCGCUGAAGCGCGCGACCCACACCCGGCCAUCUGGGCGAGCGCCAUGCCCCGAUGAGUAGGAGGGCGCGGCGGCCGCUUCAAAACCCGGGGCGCGAGCCCGGGCGGAGCGGCCGUCGGUGCAGAUCUUGGUGGUAGUAGAAAAUAUUCAAAUGAGAACUUUGAAGGCCGAGGAGGAGAAAGGUUCCAUGUGAACGGCACUUGGACAUGGGUAAGCCGAUCCUAAGGGACGGGAUAUCCCCGGCAGAUAGCGCGAUCACGCGCAUCCCCCGAAAGGGAAUCGAGUUAAGAUUUCCCAAGCCGGGAUGUGGCGGUUGACGGCGACGUUAGGAAGUCCGGACACGCCGGCGGGGGCCUCGGGAAGAGUUAUCUUUUUUGCUUAACGACCUGCCAACCUUGGAAACGGUUCAGCCGGAGGUAGGGUCCAGUGGCCGGAAGUGCACCGCACGUCGCGCGGUGUCCGGUGUGGCCCCGGCGGCCCAUGAAAAUCCGGAGGACCGAGUACCGGUCACGCCCGGUCGUACUCAUAACCAGCCCAACGGCCGUUCGGGUUGCAGAAAAGUACAUAUCUUUUCGCACACGGUCAGCUUGACGGGAUAUAGUGCAGCGUUGUCCCGUCGGCCCCAUCAGGUCUCCAAGGUGAACAGCCUCUGGCCAAUGGAACAAUGUAGGCACGGGAAGUCGGAAAAACGGAUCCGUAACUUCGGGAAAAGGAUUGGCUCUGAGGACUAGGCUCGGGGGUCCCGGCCCCGAACCCGUCGGCUGUUGGCGGAUUGCUCGAGCUACUCACGCGGCAAGAGCGGGUCGCCGCGUGCCGGCCGGGGGACGGACCGGGAAUCGCCCCUUCGGGAGCUUUCCCCGAGCAUGAAACAGUCGACUCAGAACUGGUAGCGCAUUUAUUAGAUAAAAGGCUGACGUGGGCUCUGCUCGCUGAUCCGAUGAUUCAUGAUAACUCGACGGAUCGCAUGGCCUUUGUGUCGGCGACGCAUCAUUCAAAUUUCUACCCUAUCAACUUCCGAUGGUAGGAUAGGGUUCGAUUCCGGAGAGGGAGCCUGAGAAACGGCUACCACAUCGAAGGAAGGCAGCUGGCGCAACUUUAUCGUUGCGGGGGUGACACAUGCGUGAUGUUGUCUCUCUGGAAACGGUUCAGCCGGAGGUAGGGUCCAGUGGCCGGAAGAGCACCGCAAGUCGCGCGGUAUCCGGUGCGCCCCCGGCAGCCCAUGAAAAUCCGGAGGACCGAGUACCGUUCACGCCCGGUCGUACUCAUAACCGCAUCAGGUCUCCAAGGUGAACAACCUCUCNNNN